ensembl:lncRNA
CUGUCUGUCUGUCUAGCACCACAGCUCGGGCGCUGCUGCAGAGGGAAGAAAGAUUUGGGGAGAGGGGCUCAGAGACGGGCUGGGGGUGGGGUCUCCCUGGCUGAUUUUGGCCUGAAAAGGAUAGCUCCUUCGGCUUAGGGACUAGGGCUGGGACUGGGUGACAGGUGGGGAAACAGGCACAGAGAGGGCAGUGCCCAUUCCUGAUGUGGUCUGGAGUGGAGCCUGGGCAGGGUGGUACCACGUGGGUGCUUUAGUCUGUGGGCCACAGAGCCUCGAGACAGAGCACAGGGAGGGAUGGCACGGGGACCCAAGGACCGGGACUGGGAGUCCUUUUACCACCUCCUAGUGGGUGCUCUUAAGUCCAUCGUACGUGUUUCAUGUUCCCCGCGACCGGGGCCCUGCAGAGGCCCAGCCGCCGCUGGACUGCAGGAAGUAUUUAUGAGCACAUCUGUGUGCUGCAAUUGUGUGUCUCUAACGGGGGAGGGGGAGGAGGGGAUUUGGUGGUGAUUAUUUAAGGUAGAGGGCAGCAAGGGGAUGGGGGCAGAAGAAGUGCGGCUCCCGCACGGUUACUGUGCUGCUUGUAUAGGAGAGAGGCACACCCGCCUCAGGGAUGAGAGCGGGUCGGGACCAGAGGCCUGUGGGUAAUUCUCGGUAUCCGCGGGAAGGGAGCAAAGGGAUCCGAGUGGUUUGCGGUCCUUCAUGGUUUUAUUACACAUCGUAGGAGAAUAAAGAAGUUGUAAUGAUGGCCUUGAGUAGAGCAAUUGUGAGACUGUGCUGGACAAAAGACGGUGAUUAAUCCAGGUCCGCUAACCCAACAUCCGCACACAAAAAGCUCUGGGCUAUUUGCUUCCCUUUAAGGGGGCUUUGUGUUCCCUAGAAUGGGCACACUGGGGUUUCUCCUCUGGAGAAGAUCCCCGCUGUGGGGAAGGAAACUGAAGUCCGGCACAAGCCAGGACUGCUGGGCGUCCCCUGUGUAGUUAACAACGAGUAUGGACGCACCGAGGAAGUGAGAGCGCCAACACGCGCCAAUGCGGAGAGCGUGUCUAUGGACAGGUGUUAGGAGCGAUCUGGCUCUACCCAAAGUAGUUGUUAAAAAUAGUGAAACAGACACCCAACUGUGGGUGUGGGUAGGAAGCAUAGCCCCAGGUGUAUUUAAGAAAAGAAAAGUAAAAGGAGUUCCCUGGCGGCUCAGGGGGUGAAGGAUCUGGUGUCGUCAUUGAUGUGGCUCAGGUCACUGCUGUGGUAUGGGUUCAAGGCCUGGCCCUGGAAUUUACAUAUAUAAAUGUCAUGGGAAUGGCCAACAAAAAACCAAAAAAGCCCAGAUGUGUGGAACAGUCAUUGGUCCUGGGCUGAAUGGUGCCUUCGUGUGUAUCUGCCUAUGGUCGGAAAUGAAUUAGACGCGUAAAUAAAAUACAGGACGAAAUCAGAGCAGACCAAGUGGGAACCAUCCAAGAUAAGGUUUUACGAAUUACAGAGUAAGAUGAACACGCUUAUGUAGAAUCGUGGACUGUUUAGAGCAACAAAACCAAAGUUCUCACCUCUGGGAAUAAGAAGCAUCGUUUUAUUGUGUGUUGGAGCUGAGUUCAUGUGUGUUCCCUGUAUUUAAAAAAAAAAAAGUAAAAACGAGAAAAGGGACAAGUAGGAAACAAAGAGGAGAUUACAUCUGGAAUCAAAGCUAAUUAUGGCUUCAGUUCUGAGCCCAUUAGGAAAAAGAUCUGGGCUGGUCCUUCUGUGAGGAGAGCAGCAGAGAGACAGAUGCUUAUCAUGGUCAUUAGUCUUGUUUCUGAUUAGGGUGGUGAAUUCAUGCAUGUUGAUUGUAAUAAAUAACAUGAUUAAACGAAAAAAUAUGCCCAGUGAGCGCUGUGCCUGGGCCGGCAGUGAGUCUGUGUCUUGAAGCAAAGGUUGUGAUUUAUCCUGGGCUGCGCAGCCGUUGGCUGUUAGCAAACAUCUAGGUUGAUUCAUCCUUUUUAACAUCUGCCUUGUGUCCCACAGAACGGAGGCCCCAGAGUGGGUCCCCUGACAUGCCGCUGGUGAAGACCGUGGCCGUGACCUCUGUGGGAAACGAGCCGUGGACCAACCAACGUUAUUACAGAAUAUUGAGUCGAUCUCCUUGUGCUUUACAGAAAGAUUCAAAAAGGACCAAGAAUGGCGAUGGGGAGUGUGGAGUUGCAUGAAGACUAUUGGCUGAUCCUUGUGCCACCAGCGAGGUCCCCUGUAGAAAGAUUCUAUUAGGUCUGAGAGAAAUGAACAAAAAUCACAGAUUCAACAUACCCAAUCUGAUUGACUCAGUGAUGAAGCUGUCAGCUGUCAGUAUCCGUGGAUACACAGCCAAGGGACUCACGUAUAGGAUGAAGAUGAUUUUUAUCUCAAAUGAUUCUGAAAAAGAGGGCAGACUCUGAAGAGUAUGGCGCAUAUAAGGUGGAGGAAGAUUAAUGACUGAUCCUGUUCCACCCUCCUGAGGGCCAUAUAACAAGAUGGGACCUAGUUUCUCCCUGCUUCGAUUAAGUACAUGGAGAUACGCCAGGUGCCGUACUGACUCCCCUCUUCCACUGUGACAGUCAGAGACACCUCGACAUCGGCAAGUGACCGCUGGGGGCAGUGUUGAAUGACCCCAGGACAGCACAUUUACUCAUUUUCUAAGGAACAAAAUCUUGGCAGUUAGCUCUGUGGCUUAAGAACAGAGAGAAAUUUAAUGCAAACACAGCAAGCUGAUCUGAUCCUUCUCUGACUGGGAAGACCCUGACUAUUCUGGGACUUAGGAGAUUAAAGGCCAAGGUGAGGAAGCAUCAGUGUUGGUGUUAUUACACCUGCUUUACCAUAAGGACAAAUCAGGCAAAAGGCAGAAGAGCAGGUGGACGCUAAUGAGUGAACAGAGAAUGGCUGAUUUAAUCAUUUAAUAAAGAAUUGCUAUCAUGAGCGAGCAGCAUAAAGUCUAAUAUAAAGUGAAGACACUGUCGCAUUUGGUCGUUAGCCUGUGAUGGAGACCUUGACCUUUGCCUCUCCGGAUAAAGAGAGAAGCGCUCGCUGGUGACGAUGGUGGCCAUGGCUUCCGUGGGUAAAUCGAGGAACAAAAAGGAUGCUGUUCUUGGGUCAGUGAUGACAGUGAGACUUGACUCGACUUCAUGAUUAACCUAGCACCACCAACUGAUGUUCUUUAAGUCAGUCUGGACCCUUUGUCCUUCUGAACGUUGCUCCACAGAAUGAAGGUCACGGCUGAUUGCAUCCGUCUGUUCUGAGGAAGAUCUUGGCUGUUACCUUUCUGGAAUGGAUGUGCAAUGAUUCAAUUAAAGACUAUAGAACUUACAGUGGGUGCUCCAGGUCAAUGUAAGCAUCUUCAAGAGUCCUGCUCUCUCUGGCCGCCUCAACGUGUCCGGAACAUGGAGACUGAUAAUCAACGCCUCAGCUGAUUUCAGCUUCUGCCACGAUCAAGACUGUCCUGCUGCCACCGUUUUGUAAAAGACCAAGACUGAACUCGACGAGAUGACUGGAAAAUUCUCUCAUGGUCACGUUCUCCGGUUGCCUCCACGUCUGGGCGUAUAGAGACCAGAAAAGAGCACUGAACUCACCCAAGCCACCACGUUCAGGACGUCAAGGCAGCAUCUCUGUCCAGAACCAUCAAGUCCAAUGGUGGAUGCUCUCAAGCCGGUGCAGACAUUGCCCGUGGCUUCUCCCGUGUGUGAAGAGCUAGCGAGGAAGAACUGAUGCACCUGAACCGAUUAAGCAUUUGGCCAUCACAGGAGCUGCACUGGUGGUCCUGUGCGCAAAAUGGAUCCUCUAAGCUGAUUUCAACUUCUGUGAUUAAGGUUGUCACGUUGCCUCCGUGUUGGGAAAGAGACAAAGGUUUUCUGGAAGGAUUCCUUCAUUGAUAACGAUGUAAGCUAUUUUCAUGGGAAGGGAAGAACAAGUUGGCGCUAGUGAAUGAACUGAAGUGGUGUUAUCCUUCUGCCCUGGCUCUGAACUCUGUGUCAGGAGCCAAGAGACCAAUAGUGGACCUGCCUGAAGGGGUUUAGCGCCUUCCAUGAUGACAAGCUCUUUGGCGGCAUCUACACAGCAUAAGCGUGGAGACCUGGUGUGCAGCCGCCGGACCUGAAGGCAGGCUCCUUCCUGGAUGAGCAGGCGAGGAUGGCAGCGUUGUCUUUGGAGCCAGAGAACCAGUGGUGGAAGCCGAAGGCCAGGCCAGGCUGCGUGGGGCCGAGACCCCUCCUCUGGCGGUGGUGGCAGGAGAGAUCCCAAGGAGUGGAGCCAUUCCCUGGGGAAGCCCCUGAAAGUGCAACAGUGGGUGUGACAGAGGAGCAGCAAUGGGCUGGAGACCUUCAGGGGCCAGGGACCUCCGUCGUCAAUGUUUGGGUCCCGGCCGGGAUGGAGUUGGGUGAUGGAGAAGCCUGGUCCAGUGACUCUUCAGUGGGAAGACCGGGGCGCAGGGAAGAAGGUGUCACGAGACCGGCCUGGUGGAUGCAGGUUAUCUGAUGGAUGGCUCAAGGGGGCUCGGGCUCUGUCCUGGCAGGGAUCUGUGUCUUUGUGAAGAAACAGCGGCCCCGUUUAGGGGACUGAGUGCAGCCCAGCCCCAGCCCGUCCUCCAACCCCCAAGCCCCGAGGUUCUGCCUCCUUGGGCUCGUAGGAGAAUCACCUGGCCCCAGGGAAGGAGCAGAACCGGCUGACGCUUGAGUCCGCUGAGUGCAGAAAGGGCGAGUCAGUGGCGGUCCUCCUCGCUUUCCCUGUCCCUCUGUCACUGUCCCUGACUCUCUGUCUCGGUGUCUCUGCCUCAGUCUGUCCCUCUUGUCUCUCGCCUGGCUCUCUCUGUCGCCGUACGGGUCUCUUUCCUUUCUGGCAGCUUCGCGUCUGUGUGGUGGGGUGCCCACCGGACCCUGUCGAGCCGAUUGGACCCGUUUCCCUGGUGAGGCCCCUAGACGAUUCCUUCAGUGGGGGAGAUGGCCAAGGAAGCAGUGUGGCAGGCAGCCGCCAGGCCCGAAGGCCGGCUCCUUCCUGGAUGAGCAGGCGAGGAUGGCAGCGUUGUCUUUGGAGCCAGGGGACCAGUGGUGGAAGCCGAAGGCCGGGCCAGGCUCCGUGGAGCCGAGACCCCUCCUCUGGCGGUGGUGGCAGGAGAGAUCCCAAGUUUUGUCCUUGGGCCAGGUGUUUGGAUUUCAUUGCCUUAGUCCUAAAUGGAGUCCCAACAUGAAGGACAUCCCUGCGACUGGAGAGCCCUGCCCCUCCGGGCUCACUAGUGGAGGCCCGAGAACAUGGAUAUUCAUGAGGGUCCCUCCGUGUGGAGUGUGUACCCCUCAGAGCAAUUGCACUGGAGAUGCUUUAGCAUCUUCCGUACGGACCCGAGCUCUGGGAUUGCCUCUGAACAUACGUGUUAGGACAUGGGAGAGUCACAGGACAUGCUCCCCGCUCUUUCGGCUUCUGCUGAGCUCAAGAUUGUCAGGCCGCCUCCGCGCCAGCAAAGAAGCGAAGGUGACCGUGGGGCAGGGCCACACCCGCGGCAUUUGGAAGUUUCUAGGCUGGGGGUCGAAUCGGAGCCAUAGCCGCCGGCCUACACCACAGCCACAGCAACACAGGAUCCAAGCCACAUCUGCAGCCUACGCCACAGCUCAAGCAACGCUGGAUCCCUAACCCAUGGAGCAGGGCCAGGAAUUGAGCUCCCUUCUUCGUGGAUACCAGUCGGGUUUGUUACCGCUGAGCCACAAUGGGAACUCCCCAGCAUAACUGUUUUAAAAAGAUAUAUUACUGUGAGAAUAAACUUACCUAAUAAGGAUAUCAUGUCUUUUCUAGGGUUUUUGUGAAUGAAUGGUUUUAAAUUAUUUUUAGUGAUUUACUGAAUUUGUCAAUAAGCCACAGAGAAAUGAGUGAAGAAAAAGAGGGACUUAUUGGUGGCAUAUGAGGCAUGUACAGUGCAUGUGUGUCUGGAACUCUGAGGUCCAGUGUGGGUGGAAUCUAGUCCAUUGUCCUGUUUGGGGUGAUUCUAGAGACACAUGUCUAGAAAAUACAAGAAACUCGUUUGUGGGUUUUUAUAUUUAUGUACUUUCUUUUGAAAUAAUUGGAUCAAUGAAAUAAAGAAUAAACAACCCAAUAAAUACAUAAAGAUGAAAACAG